rnacentral:rRNA from 1 species
AUUGAACGCUGGCGGCAGGCCUAAUACAUGCAAGUCGAACGAGUGGCGGACGGGUGAGUAAUGUUUGGGAAUCUACCUUAUGGAGGGGGAUAACUACGGGAAACUGUAGCUAAUACCGCUUACCAUAGGAUGAGCCCUAGUGGUAUUAGGUAGUUGGUGAGGUAAAGGCUCACCAAGUCGAGUAUCCAUAGCUGGUCUGAGAGGGUGAACGGCCAAACUGGGACUGAGACACGGCCCAGACUCCGACGGGAGGCAGCAGUAGGGAAUAUUUCGCAAUGGGCGAAAGCCUGACGGAGCCAUGCCGCGUGAGUGAAGAAGGCCUUCGGGUUGUAAAGUUCUGUCGGUAGAGAAGCGUUACCUACAGAAGAAGCACCGGCUAACUCCGUGCCAGCAGCCGCGGUAAUUC